GAUGAACGCUGGCGGCGUGCCUAAUACAUGCAAGUCGAGCGAACCACUUCGGUGGUGAGCGGCGAACGGGUGAGUAACACGUAGGUUAUCUGCCCAUCAGACGGGGACAACGAUUGGAAACGAUCGCUAAUACCGGAUAGGACGAAAGUUUAAAGGUGCUUCGGCACCACUGAUGGAUGAGCCUGCGGCGCAUUAGCUAGUUGGUAGGGUAAAGGCCUACCAAGGCGACGAUGCGUAGCCGACCUGAGAGGGUGAACGGCCACACUGGGACUGAGACACGGCCCAGACUCCUACGGGAGGCAGCAGUAGGGAAUCUUCGGCAAUGGGCGAAAGCCUGACCGAGCAACGCCGCGUGAAUGAUGAAGGCCUUCGGGUUGUAAAAUUCUGUUAUAAGGGAAGAAUGGCUCUAGUAGGAAAUGGCUAGAGUGUGACGGUACCUUAUGAGAAAGCCACGGCUAACUACGUGCCAGCCGCCGCGGUAACAC
rnacentral:rRNA from 1 species